AGCGCUGUCAGCUUCCCAGUUUGCACAAUUAACCAAGAAAUAAUGUGGGGCCACUGGCACAAAUGAGGCAUCUCCCGGAAGCUUAACUUCCUAUCCAUCCCAUCUCUUAGAGAGAUAAUGCCACUUAAUUACUUUGAAUAAAACUGGGCAAAAGCUUAUCAUUAUCAACAAAUAAGAAGAAAGAAACCCUAUGCUGGGUAACGCCAAAGCUUUGGCCCGGUGCCCUCUGUUGAAACAUCCUAGGCCUUUUCUUUCCACUCCUAUCACAACCAAUCUGAUUUAGCCCCUUCACACUUUACUCCUAGAUUUUGCUAGACCUUUCUAUUUUGUCUCCCUGAAUUAAGCUUUCCCCUCUAGGGCAUUCUACGUAUGGAUUCUAAAAUAAUCAUCUGCAUGUCUACACUUGAACAUUAUGCAAAAAAUAAAAUAAUCCUCCUGUUUUAAUCA